rnacentral:rRNA from 1 species
UAGGGAAUCUUCCGCAAUGGGCGAAAGCCUGACGGAGCAACGCCGCGUGAGUGAUGAAGGUCUUCGGAUCGUAAAACUCUGUUAUUAGGGAAGAACAUAUGUGUAAGUAACUGUGCACAUCUUGACGGUACCUAAUCAGAAAGCCACGGCUAACUACGUGCCAGCAGCCGCGGUAAUACGUAGGUGGCAAGCGUUAUCCGGAAUUAUUGGGCGUAAAGCGCGCGUAGGCGGUUUUUUAAGUCUGAUGUGAAAGCCCACGGCUCAACCGUGGAGGGUCAUUGGAAACUGGAAAACUUGAGUGCAGAAGAGGAAAGUGGAAUUCCAUGUGUAGCGGUGAAAUGCGCAGAGAUAUGGAGGAACACCAGUGGCGAAGGCGACUUUCUGGUCUGUAACUGACGCUGAUGUGCGAAAGCGUGGGGAUCAAACAGGAUUAGAUACCCUGGUAGUCCACGCCGUAAACGAUGAGUGCUAAGUGUUAGGGGUUCCGCCCCUUAGUGCUGCAGCUACGCAUUACACUCCGCCUGGGGAGUACGACCGCAAGU